rnacentral:rRNA from 1 species
GACAGAGGCCUCGAGCGUUAGGCGGAAUCACUGGGCUUAAAGCGUGUGUGGGCGGACCGUUAAGUACCUUGUGAAAUCCCACGGCUCAACCGUGGAACGGCUGGGUAUACUGGCGGUCUUGAGCCACCUAGGGGCGAGCGGAACAAACGGUGGAGCGGUGAAAUGCGUAGAUAUCAGUCGGAACACCGGUGGCGAAGGCGGCUUCUUGGGCCAUUUCUGACGCUGAGGCGCGAAAGCUAGGGGAGCGAACGGG